ensembl:lncRNA
UUUUUUUUUUUUUUUUGUGCUAGUACUUUGCAUUUUGAUAUUGUCUUUAUAAUGUGAUUUUUAAUUAUUUUUCUCUAUAUAGGUGCAUGAAUGUAGCAUAUGGUUGCAAAUGAUGAAAAGAUAACUGGAAUUUUCAGUUGGUUUUAUUACCUGGUUUUAACCCCUGUAAGACAUUUUUAAUUUUAAAAAGCUUCAAUAAAAGCAUCCUGGAGAGAUUUCCUCUACAUUUAUUAUAAUUUAAUCCAUACUCAUCAAUGAGGAAAAGCUGCAGCUGGGGAGAAGUAAAUAAACACCUCCAGUAAUGAAAUCAAGACACACCUACAUGGUACACAAGGAAGGGGAAAAUCAGCAGAAUGGCAAGGAAUAGCUAAAGAAACUCCAUUAAAUACAGGUUUGUGUAAUUUUAAAGUAUUCCUCUCUCUUUUGAUGUUGUCAGCUAUUCUCACCUGGGACUUUUUCACCUUUGGAAGUUGAUUUUGAAAGGUGACUUGUGAUACUUCUGACAGUAUCAUAUUGGGUCAGCUUUGGUUUAGUUCAAUGCCCAUCUCCAGUACUGUUACCAUAAAUUCUGUUUAAUUAUGAGUGCAGUCUAAUUCCAGAUGAGGAAAGUGACUUUUUCCCUUGACCAGGACCUGUCUGGUUACUGGCCCUGGGUCAGUGUGAGCCAUGUCAGAGGAAGGGGAUGUGGUCACCAUGUCUCAAAGGCAGUGAAAGCAAAUUCCUCAUUCCAAAGAGGCACCUCUCAGCCUGCUGCCCAGGGAAAAGAGGUUUUGCCAUGUUCACACUACAUGUAACUUUUCCAGGACCUUUUGAACCUGGUGGUCAAUUCCAACAGAAUUAAUCAGGGGCAAGGUACAGAUCCCUGAGAUAAGCUCCAACUGCUUUUUGGAGAGAAGUGGCUGCAGAAAAGAGACCUGGUGGUGGCUUCAGUGAAGAAAAGUGGCAGUGAGAAUCUCCUUCUCACGGAGCAAUGGAGAACUGACACUGUGAAGGAACUUAAAACCAACUCCACUGGGGGGGAAAAAAUGCAGUUGGAGAUUUAUCUUCCCAGACAAACAUCACUCACCUGUUAAGACAAGCAUUCGUGGGAAACCGGCCUCCUUAAUUACAGCGUGGCAUAACUUGUGUGCUACACCUGAGCUCUGCAGCUGCAGCCUACCCUGCCACAUGGCAGAUUCUGAGCUGAUUUAAUUACAGACUUUUGCAAGAAAUCAUUCAGACCUACUCCAGGUCAGCUGAUGGCUUUUGAAGGCUCUUUUCACUAACAGUUUUUACAGGGACUGAAAAUGUCCCUGUAAAAUGUCCCUGAAAAUGUGCCUGUGAUCAAAACACUUUUCAUUUCAACCAAAACAUGUUUUCUACUGCCCAAAGUAUUAACAGUUUUCAGCUCACAGAACUUACCCACCUAAACAAUAUGGCAGUUUGUCAAAAACCUGGUAAACCUGCAAUAUUCUCUCUUACAAAAUACUAACAGCUCAUACUCAUCUUCAGUGUCAAUCUCAAACUUUUUAAGAGGGAGGGAAUUAAUAUCUGGGUUACAGAUCAAGCACCCAGGACUCAGUUACAAUUGGAAUCUGAGGAACAGGAUUUGGUGCUUUCUACAUCUGUGGGAUAACAGAACGCUGUCAAACCACUGAAAUUUCUUGUUCUUCUUCAUCGUGUACCUUUUACAUCAAAUUUUAAAUGAAAACACAAAGGCUCUUUGGAUAACUGAUAACUACUGCUCCAAAACAAAUUUUUGAACAACUUACUGUCCUGUGGCUCAUGCUGUGCAGACCGUAUGCAUAAACCGCAAGAAGACCCCAAGUGAAUAAAAUUUGAAAACCCCACAAAAUUUUAAGGAAUAAGUUUUCUAGUGCCCAACCCACACUCAGCUACUCCUUAGCAUUUUUUGAAUGCAAAACUGGUUAACUUAAACAUACACAAUCUUAACCAGCCUGUCCAGAAUUUGGCAGACAGGCAGCUGAAACACGUGCAGUGCUUUGGGAAAGGCUACCAGGGGCUGUAGGGCAUUUCCUCAUGUGAACACUCAGUGUCCUCUUGCUCUUUCCUGAUCAAAAAGUCCCUCUCCCAGCUCUGAACCAACUGAUCUGUUUUCAGACCAUUACCUUGCCAGUAAAUAAUUUCAGGUCUCAAGUGCAAAGUCUCUUCUGCUCGUAUGCCAAACAUUAUGGUUACGGACUUUUUGAUGAGAUGUUAGAUGUAUGUAUUUCAGAAUUAUUAAUUUAAUCCCACAAUCUAUAAGGAUCCACACUGGAUAAAUGGAUGAAAAUCAAAAAUGCUUGCUUAUGAAAGGGAAUGACUACUUUUGAAUGUGUGGCUGGAAUUUCUGAUCACAAACACACCUGUAAAUGCUCUGCUCGGAUUAUCAUGCUACUGGGUCCUGCUGGCAGACCAAUGCUCAUAUUUUCCUGAGCCCAUUCAAUCUGAAACAGAGUAACAGAACAGUUCUCAAUUGUUCCAGUAACUGCUGAUGCAGUGGCAUCUCUGCUGCAUUUGCUGGCUCACUAUGCAACUUUUUAUGAUCCAGAUCUACACCAAAAUCCUGCUUCAGACAGAUUCUCCUCAUGCAACUCAAACGGGAGGCAGCACCCGUGUUCACUCUUCCCCUGUACUGAGUGAGGACAGGUUUGAUAGAUCCACCUUCCUUCUUUUGAGCCUAGUGAAUGCUAGGGCUUCUCUAACAAGGCAUUCUUUGCUCAAGGAUGGGGAAAAAAACCAACCAAAAACAAACAUACAAACAUGAGUAAAUUCAGUCCAUCAGCUAAAAAAAGCAGCUGCUACCCUCCUUCCUGGAAGGCAGCAGGACCCCUCAAGUAAGCCAGAUGCCUCCUAGCAUUCCCUGGAUGCCAGGGAAUGGAUCACCUCUCUUCAGCAAAAGCUCAUUUUUUUUCUGUGUCUUCCAGCUUCCUUCCCAGGAUCACAACAAACCCCCAGCCUGUGCCCCAGGAUUUUGUCCUUUAGAAGAAAGCCACAUUUAUGUGCUGCCUAUUCCCAAAACCAACACAAAUGUCCAAUUAAUUUCUUAAAGUGUUUGCUCUAUUACAAUUUUUUGGCACAAAGGCCCCCUAUAUUACGCCUGGUAAACUUUUAUUCAGUUUAAACUGUCUCACCUAGGCAAUAUGGCCUGGUGUGACACCAAGCACUCGGCAUCCAGAGGAAGGCAACACUUCAGGUGAUGCUGCUGGAGCAGCCAAAGCAUUUGCCCCAGCUCAGGAAGAGAUCCACCACCAGCAAUUUUCUUCCUUGUCCACUUUUGAAUUGUUUUUUAUGUUAACUUCACACGACGGCUUCACAGACAACUCCACCUCAAAAUGAACACUCACCCAUAUUCCAAAAAUUCUUACUGAGUGACCUGUGUGGGACUCAGCCUUGUGGGCCUGCAAAAGGAAAAAAUGGGUGCCCACGUUGAGCUGUGUGAAAUUUAGAGAAUGGUUUAAAUGUAUCAGCUUUUUGUUUGCAGUCCAAAGAGCAGAUGGUGGUUUAAAUAUUUUUCAAAGGUUUGUAUGGGGUGGAGCACAGACCCACAGGAAUGUAUCUCACCCUUAAGACAGCACUGUGCAGUGAUGUAAUUAUUAGAUAUAAUUAAUUAGAUGUAAUUAAUUAGAUGUAAUUAAUUAGAUGUAAUUAUUUUCACUGUUUUUCU